UGGAUAACCUACCUAUAAGACUGGGAUAACUUCGGGAAACCGGAGCUAAUACCGGAUAAUAUAUUGAACCGCAUGGUUCAAUAGUGAAAGACGGUUUUGCUGUCACUUAUAGAUGGAUCCGCGCCGCAUUAGCUAGUUGGUAAGGUAACGGCUUACCAAGGCAACGAUGCGUAGCCGACCUGAGAGGGUGAUCGGCCACACUGGAACUGAGACACGGUCCAGACUCCUACGGGAGGCAGCAGC
rnacentral:rRNA from 1 species